UCCGAGAGGACUUUGAAGACUUGGCGAUAAAAGGGGGGCCCUUUGUGCAAAGUUAGUGACGGGCAAAUUGUGGGCGUGUAUGGGGAGGUUAAAAGAGAACGGGUGUGUAAAAAUACAGAGUUCAGGACCACAGACCCCUCCGCUGGGAGAUACCACUGAGGAGAUGGGGGAGGCCUGAAAUGGUACGGACCUCCCUGGUACCUAUCGCCGGGGAGAAAGGAUGCAGAGUCGGUGAAAAUACAUUCCUCCCUCCACAGGUCAGUAUCACUGGGCAGACAGGGAGAACGUGUGGAGCUGGUAGUUCUUUCAAGAAAAUAACAGUAGGGAGAUAAAUACCAUUAACCUAGCGGUGGCGAAGGCUCAGGUUGGUACAGUCCGUUGUGGAAGAUACCACUGGUGCAAAUAGGGAGGUGUGGUACAAUCUGUCCUCGGAGAAAGAAACGUGAAGAAAGUGACAUUGGUAAACAUAGGCGCAGGGAGAGUUGGAGACAGAAGCCUAGGGAUAAAGGGGCCCGGGUGAGGUGGAAUCUUAGUCGGAGACUAGGUGAGAAGACAGAUCUGAUUGUGACCCCGCCAGGCCUACAUUCCAUCCUCCUCCGGGUAACCUGUUGCAGAGAGAUUUGAGAGGGCGGAGAUUCCAGAGUCCCAGUCCUAUGGGGCCUCCCUGAGGCCUAGGGGAAUAACCGGGAGACAGACAGUGAUCAGGUUCCGGACCUCAAACACUCUGCCCUAUUAAUCACAUUCUACCAAUUGAUCACCUGAAAGAAAAUGUACAGAGAACCCUCACCAGGAACCAAAUCAGCUGGCUUCUUCAUCUUGGACUUCUCCCAGCCUCCAGCACUAUGCCAAAUAAACUUCUGGUUUAACCCAUC